rnacentral:rRNA from 1 species
UACGUAGGGGGCAAGCGUUGUCCGGAUUUAUUGGGCGUAAAGAGCGUGUAGGCGGUUUGGUAGGUCCGCUGUGAAAACUCGAGCUCAACCUCGAGACGCCGGUGGAAACCAUCAGACUAGAGUCCGGAAGAGGAGAGUGGAAUUCCUGGUGUAGCGGUGAAAUGCGCAGAUAUCAGGAAGAACACCCGUGGCUAAGGCGGCUCUCUGGGCCUUACCUGACGCUGAGGAGCGAAAAGCGUGGGGAGCAAACAGG